AAAAAAAACCCGAAUCUAUGUAUAAAUAAAAAAAAGGGAAAAAAAUUGGACAAUCAAAAUCGAAUGAUGAUGGAUGGAUUUUUUACAACGAGUAAGUCCUAAAAUGUGUAUGUUUUGGGGAAAUUUUCAUACGAAAAAAAAUAUGCAAAAAAAAUAUUGCAUGGCCAUGAGAGAAGAUCAUUUUGGGGGUGGUUGUAAUCACCCGAAAUUGUUGUUGGUAAGCCCAGAUAAUCAAUGGAUAUAUUGCAUAUAUUGUUAUAUUGUCAUCAUUUUGUUUUAAAGAAAAAUUUUUUUUUUUCGCUUUCCAGAAAAUAAAUGGAUUUCAUUUUUU